AAACCAGCACCUCAAGUGGUCAGGAGGAUUAGUGGGCCUAAAGCAUCCGUAGCCUGCUUUGUAAGUUUUCGGUUAAAUCCAUAUGCUCAACAUAUGGGCUGCCGGGAAUACUGCAUAGCUAGGGAGUGGGAGAGGUAGACGGUACUCCGUAGGAAGGGGUAAAAUCCUUUGAUCUAUUGAUGACCACCUGUGGCGAAGGCGGUCUACCAGAACACGUUCGACGGUGAGGGAUGAAAGCUGGGGGAGCAAACCGGAUUAGAAACCCCUGUAGUCC
rnacentral:rRNA from 1 species